UACGAAGGGGGCUAGCGUUGUUCGGAAUUACUGGGCGUAAAGGGCGCGCAGGCGGCUCUUCAAGUCAGAUGUGAAAGCCCCGGGCUCAACCUGGGAACUGCAUUUGAGACUGGAGAGCUCGAGUUCGGGAGAGGAGAGCGGAAUUCCCAGUGUAGAGGUGAAAUUCGUAGAUAAUUUGGGAAGAACACCGGUGGCGAAGGCGGCUACUCGUGGGACCGAUACGUGACGCUGAGAGCGAAAGCGUGGGGAGCGAACGAGGA
rnacentral:rRNA from 1 species